rnacentral:lncRNA from 1 species
GGGAGAGCUGCGCCCUGCGGUCCCCACCCGGCCUCUCCCCGGGGGUGUGGCCGCCGUCUGUUCGGUCACAGCCAGGCUGCGGCCUAAGUUGAGGUACAGGGGUCCUUUGCUGGCCCCAGAUGUGGACAGUAUCCUCUCGAAUGCCCACCACUGGGAACCCUUAAGUCCCUCAAGAUCUUUCCUCAGCCUCGGCCAGUCCUAUCUCAGCAGUAGUGGCCGGUGUUAAGUAUGGUGCCUAGAAAAUUACAGACUAUUCCAGACCAGGAAGGAAAGUUGACUUCAUCUUCAGAUACUCAGGCUCCAGCCUGGAGACAUCUCAUCUCUCCUCUGUCACUCCUUCCCCAUUAUUAAAGUUUGUGGAUGUUCCUUAGAGUCUCCCAGACCUGUCUUGGCUUUAAGGCUGUUACGAAGAAUGCAGAUGAACAGCAUUCGUGGAAAAGAUGCACGGAGCGAGGCCUGUGGGGAGGGGAGCAGAGCUUCCAUGCCCUCCCUGCAUGCACCACCCUCCAGGAACCUCCACAUGUUCAGCUGUCUGGAAGCUCUUCCGAACCCUGUCCAUUUGAACUGUUAUGGAGGCUUCAUUACAUAGUGAUUCGGAGUGUGUCAAGGACCUGGUUAAUCAUGGAAUGAGGUUCCCUAAAGACAAAACACGUCAGGCCAGGCAUAAUGGCUCACACCUAUAAUCUCAGCACUUUGGGAGGCCA